rnacentral:rRNA from 1 species
UACGUAGGGGGCGAGCGUUGUCCGGAUUUAUUGGGCGUAAAGGGCUCGUAGGUGGUUCGCCAAGUCGGAUGUGAAAUCUCCAGGCUCAACCUGGAGCGGCCAUUCGAUACUGGCGUGACUUGAGUUCGGUAGGGGAUCACGGAAUACCUGGUGUAGCGGUGAAAUGCGCAGAUAUCAGGUGGAACACCGAUGGCGAAGGCAGUGAUCUGGGCCGAAACUGACGCUGAGGAGCGAAAGCGUGGGUAGCAAACAGG